GGGCAUAACAAAUUGAAGAGAGAGAAACACCUCCUUCCUCAAUAUUUCUGAAGAACAAGAUAGAAAAAUGCCUCAUCAUCUCAACAGUUCCGAAUUUCUUAUCUCCUCACCAUUUCUGCAGAAAAUCAAUUCUUCAAGGAAAAGAGAGACGGUUUCUUAUACUCCCCGAAUUGACAUGGUGACAUUUCUUGUUCAUGGUUUAUUAUCUCGUCCUCCAUCGGAGUGGACAUUGUGGUGUUUGUGACGUUUAUUACCAUGUUGUAUGGUUGGAUUCUCCUUUUUGGUACCCUUAUGUUAUUCUCGCUUUUGGAUUCUCCAUUUUUGGGAACUUUAUAUUGUAUUUUUAUUAAGUGUUAUGACGUUUGAUAUUAUUGUAUUUUUAUUAAGUGUUAUGACGUUUGAUAUAAUAAGCCUUGAAUUUAACAGUAA